GAGUGAACGCUGGCGGUAGGCCUACCACAUGCAAGUCGAACGGCAGCACAGUAAGAGCUUGCUCUUACGGGUGGCGAGUGGCGGACGGGUGAGGAAUACAUCGGAAUCUACUUUUUCGUGGGGGAUAACGUAGGGAAACUUACGCUAAUACCGCAUACGACCUACGGGUGAAAGCAGGGGAUCUUCGGACCUUGCGCGAUUGACUGAGCCGAUGUCGGAUUAGCUAGUUGGCGGGGUAAAGGCCCACCAAGGCGACGAUCCGUAGCUGGUCUGAGAGGAUGAUCAGCCACACUGGAACUGAGACACGGUCCAGACUCCUACGGGAGGCAGCAGUGGGGAAUAUUGGACAAUGGGCGCAAGCCUGAUCCAGCCAUACCGCGUGGGUGAAGAAGGCCUUCGGGUUGUAAAGCCCUUUUGUUGGGAAAGAAAAGCAGCAGGUUAAUACCCCGCUGUUCUGACGGUACCCAAAGAAUAAGCACCGGCUAACUUCGUG
rnacentral:rRNA from 1 species